AGGCAAGGGAAGUCGGCAAA
rnacentral:snRNA from 1 species